rnacentral:rRNA from 1 species
UAUAAGCAACUUGUACUGUGAAACUGCGAAUGGCUCAUUAAAUCAGUUAUCGUUUAUUUGAUAGUACCUUACUACAUGGAUACCUGUGGUAAUUCUAGAGCUAAUACAUGCUAAAAACCCCGACUUCAGGAAGGGGUGUAUUUAUUAGAUAAAAAACCAACGCCCUUCGGGGCUCCUUGGUGAAUCAUAAUAACUUAACGAAUCGCAUGGCCUUGCGCCGGCGAUGGUUCAUUCAAAUUUCUGCCCUAUCAACUUUCGAUGGUAGGAUAGUGGCCUACCAUGGUGGCAACGGGUAACGGGGAAUUAGGGUUCGAUUCCGGAGAGGGAGCCUGAGAAACGGCUACCACAUCCAAGGAAGGCAGCAGGCGCGCAAAUUACCCAAUCCCGAUACGGGGAGGUAGUGACAAUAAAUACUGAUACGGGGCUCUUUUGGGUCUCGUAAUUGGAAUGAGAACAAUUUAAAUCCCUUAACGAGGAACAAUUGGAGGGCAAGUCUGGGCUAAG